rnacentral:lncRNA from 13 species
GUUUGCCUGAGUUCAAAGCCCAGCUCUGCCACUGGCUUCUCUGUGCUUUUGUUGCCUGAUGUGUAAAGUGGAGGCAACAAAAAGACCUUCCUCUAAUGUAUGAAAAUUGCAGCCUCACAACAGUGUCUGGCAUUUGAAAAGUGCUAUAUAUGUGUGUGCUGUUAUUGUUUCUUUAUUCUUUUAUGAUUUACUAGGAGAUGCCUAUGUGACAGACUUUGGGCUGGGCAGCCACCAGGGAUUCAGGGGAAGUCACAAAGGGUGAAACAGGCAAUUACUAAACCAGCAUUGUGGUGUAGGUAAGCACAGGGUGCUAUGGAAACGCAGAGGGAGGGCACCUAACCUGGAUGGGACAGGCUUGAGAGGAGGAGUGUUCCAGAAAGACUUCCUGGCAGAGGUGGUAUCUGACCUGGGUUAGCCUGUGAGCUGCAAUGGAGGAAUUACGGAGCCAAUGCCUUUUCCUACGAAUUCCGUGGAUUUCCCUCCAUCCCACUUUGGAACUUACCACUCAAAACCAUGGGGUGCAUGAAGGGAUGGAUUUCACUGAGAUUCACCUGUUACACACCAGGUCCUGCACUCACAUUCUGGGAAACAGUGGCGGACGCGGCAGUCUCCAGCUCUCGAGCAGCCUACAGUCUAGAGGACCUGGUCCGGUUAUAACCCCAACGGAAAGAGGAUAGUGUUACAAAAACAAUUUUCCUGUGUUUGUGUCAUAGAUGCCUUUAAGAAAACAAUGGAAACUGAAAACCCUGGCCCCAGAAGAAGCAAAUAGAUAGACAAACACAAGAAUGUCUAGAGGUGACAGAGAGGCUCAGGGGAAGAUCAAGUUUAAGUGCUAGGCAGAGGCAGUAAGGUUCAAAGACAGGUUGGAUGGUGGGCAUGAAAAUGCUGUGCUAAGGGAUGUCUGAAUGAAGGCCAGAGUGGUCACAGCUUAGGGGAUGG